rnacentral:rRNA from 1 species
AUCAAAUCGUACCCCAAACCGACACAGGUGGUCAGGUAGAGAAUACCAAGGCGCUUGAGAGAACUCGGGUGAAGGAACUAGGCAAAAUGGUGCCGUAACUUCGGGAGAAGGCACGCUGAUAUGUAGGUGAAGUCCCUCGCGGAUGGAGCUGAAAUCAGUCGAAGAUACCAGCUGGCUGCAACUGUUUAUUAAAAACACAGCACUGUGCAAACACGAAAGUGGACGUAUACGGUGUGACGCCUGCCCGGUGC